UGCUGUCUUUUUAGUCUUAACUAUGAUGAAUUAACUCCUCCUUUCCAUCUCCACCCAAAAGUCAGAAAAGGUCCUUACAUUACCUUGAAGCAGCAAUAAUGGUGUUAUAUUUAAAAUACCAAACUCAAAUGUUCUCUGUUUUGUCUGAAUUUCAGGCCAGGUGGCCAAAAGAUAAUAUGACAAAUUUGGGAAAGAAUUUCCUACUCCUUCAUGCUUUCUGAGCUGAUUCAUUCACUCCUCCAUAAAAGUUGACAGGCAAAACAGAAACAAUUCUGAAGGAAAAAAAAAAGUAAAAGAUAAAUCUAGAAGAAGAAAAAGUAGAAAAGGCAUUUUUCAGACAAACAGUGUCAUGUCAGUGAAAAGGGUCAGGUUCCCAAGCCUAAACCUUGAUAUGCUUGCGGAGGGGUGAGUUUUAAACUGUGAGAGGGAUUCUCUGAUCCUCUGCAGAGCCAUGAUAUCUGGCAUCUGCCCCAGAGAGAAGUGGGAGUCUGAGAAGUGCCAAGCAGUUUCAAAGUCAUAGUCUGGCUGAUUUACAAACUUAAAACUGGUUACUCUCUUUGAAUAUCUAGUGCUUUUGCAAAUCUGCCAUAAUUUUUAAGUAUACUUUGUAAAUAUUUAAGCAUUUUGUAAAACUUUCCACUGCAGGUAGAAAAUAAAGAAUUGGGAUUAAGGUAUUAAGUUAACAAUUUCCAUCAGAACAAAAUUCAUUAGAAUUGAUGUAAGGCAAGGAAAUUACACUCUUCUGCAAUUCUGCUCAGUGAAUUCGGAGACAAGAUUGAUGUUUAGUAUAAGUAUGGUUAUUGAUCAAAAUCAGGUUUUUACAUUUGUGCUUCCCUUUUGGUUCCAAAAUGGAUUGCAACAAAACUUACCAUAUUUUCUUUCAAGGAUAAUGCUUAUUGUUUGUUGCACUGUGUCCUAUCAUGCCAUUCACUCCAAUGGGUAAUUUUUUGCUGCUUUUUGUUGUAGCUGUAAAUAUUUAACGGUGGAAUAUGAAGUAGCAAGAAUGAGUAGCAAACUGUUUAUUUCCAGCACUCAUUUUAAGAAACUUUAGCAACCUAAUAAUAAAAUUCAAUCUGAGAAUGCUAAGCACUUGAAUUUGGAUCCCAAGUGGUCCAUUGGUCUAGAGAAAUGGACCCAGCAAAUCAUUCUGACUUUUCUAUUUUUUCCUGAUGAUAAAACAAACAAGACACUAGAAAGGCAACCUGGGGUACAGGGUAGGCAUUCCUGUUGGUGUACCUGAGAACUAUCUGAAAAUGAAAGAAAAUCCUCAGUUGCUGUUGGUGUGAAUAAUAUAAAAAAAAAUGACUGAUUGCUUUAUUAUAUCUCCUCAGAAGGUAACAAUAAAUUCUAGAACUACUGUGAAACCUUCUCAUGUCUAUAAGCUCCUCACUCACCUGUAUUGCUCCUACUUUGUAUCAGUGGAAUACAGAACAAAGCCAUUCCCUGUUUUUCCACACCCAUCUCCCUGCCCUCUUAUAGUGGACAACAAUCAUCAAAAACAAAUUUUUCAGAAAACUUUCAAUGUCCAUUUCUUCCUUAUCCUUUUUCCAUCUCUUACUUGUUUUUCCUCUAUUGCUUGCUGGCAAAUGGCUCAUUUGGUGAGGUUGUUUUCACAGAAAUGCUGUGUUUAGGAGAGCAAAAAUGGUGACAAUAUAAAAUAGAGCAGUGAGGCCUCUCUUUAUUUCUGUGUUAUUAUUGCUGUAAUUGUUAUUGUAAAAGACAGGAAAAGCAAAAAUAUGAAAUAUGUUUGUGCUAAUUAUAUUCUCGCUCUAGUCUGCAUGUGUGGCUCUCUGCUGCAGUAAAAGAACUCAGGAAAUGAAGCUCGUGGGAAACUGGAUCGGAAGGAAGAGGUGAUGUAAUGGGCCCAGACAGUGGAGAGUAUGACAGCCUUUUGCAUUUGACAAAGUGAGGAACUUCCGUUAUCUAACUAGAACUACAUUUUCUGUAGCUGUGAAAUCUUAUUAUCAGCAGAGGGCAGUGCCAUACUCUUCCCAUGCUGCUGAUGUCAGAGCACAAAAUCAACUCAUAAACAUGAUAUAGCCCAGAGGAGCCUGUCAGAUUGCUUCAACUUUGUAAUGGGUAGGAUUAAACCAGUGAACUGAGGACCAUCCCUCUUGUUUCUUUGCGCACUCACAUCUUUUACCUCAAAUGAAGAUCUACUGUGGGAAAAAAUAUAUUCUCUUUUCCAUUUGAUUUCCCUAUCUGUUUCAGGUCAUGUGGGUAAAGCAUUACACAAUGACAGUCCCUUCUGUGCUUCAUGGUGCCAGUAGAAUAUGUAUGUUAGCACACACAUACUCAUAUAGUCCAGAUUUCAUCUUUAUGACUGCACCAUAGCAGAGAUCCUCUGAGAUCACCUUUAUCAAAAAAUAGAUAAUUAGAGAAUAAUACUGGUAUUGCUGCUACAGACAAUUUCUAUUCUCCUAUGCGUUUUAAAGGGAAUUUUAACUCAGUUCACCUUCAAAGCAAUCUGAAAAUCAUUGGGAAAUAUAGUAGGCUAUUUUCAUGUAAUAGAGUUACAGUUAAAUAAAUGUAAAGCUAAAUUUGUUUUUAUGAUUCAUUUUAUUUACUUAUUUCAAAAUAUUCUUCUUAAGAUAUUCUUCUUUAAAAUAA